AAUUUUCGCAUGAGUGAGGUGUUCCAAGGUUGGUUUCUGAGUGUUGGGAUGACAGCUGACUCCUCUGGCACUUCCUAACUUCCACCGGAUUUUUCGAUGGAUUUGGGUUAUCUUCGACAUGAGUAAGGUGUUCCAAGGUUGCUUCCUAAAUUUUCGAUUGACAGCUGAUUCCUCUGGCACUUCCUAA